CAACUGGCCUGCGCCGCUGGCGCGACAGGGUGGCAGCGGGGAGCGGAAAGGGGAGGAGGUCUCAGGUCUGGGCGUGUGAAGCGAGGUGGUUGGCGCGAGUGGGCGGGCGCCUCGCUUCGAGCGGCCCCGCAGCGGCCGUGGCCAACGGGCAGUCGCCUUGGGCGCCUGGUGCCUUCUAAAGACGAAGUGCUCAGGUCCUUCUUGUUGUGACUGUAGUUCGUUCAGUAUAAGUCGUCCCUUGUCGUCGUAGCAAAACUAGACGGAAAAGCGUCCUAUGAACCCGUUAAGUAUCACCUUUGAAGUUGAACAAGUUCCGGAGAGAGAAGUGUGGUCAUGUAGUAAAAUGUAGGAACCUUUAACACCUCGCUCGGAUGAACUCUUACGUUACAUCGUCCUCAGUAAUCAAAGUCAUUCAACCUCUGAACGGGACCUCGACGGUAUGAGCCGACGUAACCGGAAACUAUCUACCAAAAAAGAGUCUGUAGGAGAGACCGUCAUUUCGAACGUGUUCCUGGGUUCGAGAAAUGAUGUUUCUGUUAAGAGGGGUACCUAGGGGGCCCACAACAGAGGAGACUUUUACGACUUAUACUAAAAAGACUACAAAAACCAAGGUCAGGUCAGCUCUGUCGUUGUCUUGAAACACAACAACUAGGUCUGUCGGGACGUCGAGGGUAACUCAGGGGACUCCUCCAAAUAUUACUAGGACGCCAGUAGAAGUUCGCCAGUGUAAGAGAACAACCGGGUAGUAGUGAACAAUCGACGAGAAACCCUGAACCGUUCGAGUGAGAUUUGUAUCGUCUACCUAGUAGUCUUGAACAUCCGGUGUGAUGUCUUCUUUUCCUUGAAUUGGAUCUCGUCAAGUCACUACUUCUCAAACCACUACGGCACUGACUCCUACUCCCACAACCCGAACUACUGAAACUUUAGAACUUCGAACAUCCGGUUCCCCGUAAACCGUUUCAGAAAGUCCACUCUUUCUUCCCAUGAAGUCUUUAUAUACGUUACUUUCAAUACUCCUUCCUGUUCUAUGACCUCUUUUUGGUAAGGCUCAUGUACUUUCGACUUUCUCUGUAUGACUGUUUUCAACUGGUAGGAAUACAUCACGUCGACUCCAUGAGGAAAGUCUGGUUUAUAGCUGAAAUGGAACAGGACCUGAAACAAUUGCCCCCCGUAGAUAAGAAAGUCGAGAUGUUCGUUCCUAAUAAAUCCCUCCUUGAACGUGCUUAGAUGUGUCGACUCUAAUAUAGACGACAUCGGGUGGAGGUACGAUUACCCUAAUACGUAUCUCUAGAAUUCGGGCUCUUGUAGGAUAACCUACGACUUCCGGUACGGUACGAUUGACUGAAACCGGAACGCUUUCUUAAGGCACUCUUGUGGGCUAGUUUGAGCUACACACCGUGAGAGCUCAUAUACCGGGGACUUUAAUAAGUCCCGGUCCCCGUACUAUUCCGGCGUCUAACCACCUCACAUCCUUAGGAGGACAAACUUUACGACUGCCCGUUCGGGGGCAAACAGCCCUUGUCUCUGUUUCAAGUCGUCUUCUAUCACUUCCUCUUCAACUUCGAAGGAGGCAAAAACUGAUCGCUUCGGGUGAGCGACGACUUUCCUAACGACGUAUUUCUUCGGCCGUUCGCCGACCCUUGGCCUGGGCCGCCGUCGCUGCUCUAUUUCUCCGUGUUCACCAAGUUCGGCUAGUUGACCUCCUUCGACCUGCGGGCCCUCUAGGUCGGCUCGAAGGCCGGGCUGCACCGGCCGGACUGGACGUAGCGGUUGAAGCUGCACACGACCUGGUUGUGCGGGCACGACCUGAGGGGCCGGCGGUGGGGGCAGUGACGACCGCCGCCCGUUCCGUUGAAACGCCCCAAGUGGAUACAGUCCGGGCGCGGCAAGGAGGUACUGGACUUCGGCGGGAGUUCGAGAUCGAUCGAUCCGACGUUCCAAGCGAGAUCACGUGGGCUUUACCCACGCGCGUUAAAACUAGAUCAAGUAAGUGACUUGACGACACAAGAUACCGGACAUGCUACAUAUAGCUAGGAAGACGUAGACGAAAUGAACGCCGUUACUCUUCAACCUUUGUCUCUCGUUGAUGUUAUAGACGUUAAUGUUUAACCGACUAUCAUGAGGGAGGCAGGCCUUAAUGAACAACGUCUUUACCUACAUAGAUCAUCUAUGUAGGUAAAUACACUGUUCAUUCAUUAAGGCCUACCCCGUACAGGGGUCCUAUACGAGUUCUCAACGUAACGUCGGGACACUGACUACUUAGACUUUGAGUCUUUGUUCUUUCCUUUUGGCAUCACGUUUUGACCGACGCCGGUACUCAGCCGAGAGUUCCAUCUAGAUGGAUCUCAAAACUGAUUAUCAAUGCCAAUUUAAAUUGCAUACGCAAUUAAUAUACCCCGAUUAUCGUCAAAUGUAGUAGUUAUUUAUAAGAUCUCGAAUGACGAACAGAUCAGAUGACGAGGAUGAAUAAAGGUUGUGAGAGAAACAUAGAGAGGGAAGCUUCAAGCUCCUCGUCCCCGUCGUGGUUUGUGGUUCGUUUCGUCGUCUAAGUCGUUAGUCGUCCAUGAUGCGUCUAUGCGUCCAUGAUGCGUCUAUGCGUCUAAGUCGUUUCGUCGAGAGGUGAGGGACCUGUUUAGCUAAGUUGUUAGUCGUC
rnacentral:rRNA from 1 species